rnacentral:tRNA from 1 species
GCCGUAGCCGGGCUGCGGAGCCUGCGGCUGCUGACCGUACGGGCCCGGCUGGCCCGGCUGGCCGUACGGACCCGGCUGCUGGGGCU